rnacentral:rRNA from 1 species
AUACGGGGGGUGCAAGCGUUAAUCGGAAUUACUGGGCGUAAAGCGCGCGUAGGCGGUUUGACAAGUCGGAUGUGAGAGCCCCGGGCUCAACCUGGGAAUUGCAUUCGAAACUGUUUGACUAGAGUAUGGUAGAGGGAAGUGGAAUUCCAGGUGUAGCGGUGAAAUGCGUAGAUAUCUGGAGGAACAUCAGUGGCGAAGGCGACUUCCUGGACCAAUACUGACGCUGAGGUGCGAAAGCGUGGGGAGCAAACAGGAUUAGAAACCCUAGUAGUCC